AGCGGUUCGGCCGGGAACUCUAAGGAAACUGCCGGUGAUAAACCGGAGGAAGGUGAGGAUGAUGUCAAGUCAUCAUGGCCCUUACGGGUAGGGCUACACACGUGCUACAAUGGGCAGUACAAAGGGUUGCUAAACCGCGAGGUAAAGCUAAUCCCAAAAAACUGUUCGUAGUCCGGAUUGGAGUCUGCAACUCGACUCCAUGAAGCUGGAAUCGCUAGUAAUCGCGAAUCAGAAUGUCGCGGUGAAUACGUUCUCGGGCCUUGUACACACCGCCCGUCACACCAUGGAAGUGAAUUGUACCAGAAGCGGGUGGGCUAACCUUCGGGAAGCCGCUCACCACGGUAUGAUUC
rnacentral:rRNA from 2 species